UAAAUACUCCCUUCGUUCCGAAUUACUUGUCACAGAUAUAGAUGUAUCUAGAUGUAUUUUAGUUUUAGAUACAUUCAUUUCUAUGACAAGUAAUUUAGAACGGAGGGAGUACAUG
rnacentral:pre_miRNA from 1 species